rnacentral:rRNA from 1 species
GUACGCUCUUGAUGGUGAAGUCCCUCGCGGAUGGAGCUGACGAGAGUCGCAGAUACCAGGUGGCUGCAACUGUUUAUUAAAAACACAGCACUGUGCAAAAUCGCAAGAUGACGUAUACGGUGUGACGCCUGCCCGGUGCCGGAAGGUUAAUUGAUGGGGUUAGCGCAAGCGAAGCUCUUGAUCGAAGCCCCGGUAAACGGCGGCCGUAACUAUAACGGUCCUAAGGUAGCGAAAUUCCUUGUCGGGUAAGUUCCGACCUGCACGAAUGGCGUAAUGAUGGCCACGCUGUCUCCACCCGAGACUCAGUGAAAUUGAAAUCGCUGUGAAGAUGCAGUGUACCCGCGGCUAGACGGAAAGACCCCGUGAACCUUUACUACAGCUUGGCACUGAACAUUGAACCUACAUGUGUAGGAUAGGUGGGAGGCUAUGAAGACGUGACGCCAGUUGCGUUGGAGCCGUCCUUGAAAUACCACCCUUGUAUGUUUGAUGUUCUAACUUAGACCCAUUAUCUGGGUUGAGGACAGUGCCUGGUGGGUAGUUUGACUGGGGCGGUCUCCUCCCAAAGAGUAACGGAGGAGCACGAAGGUGGGCUAAUCACGGUUGGACAUCGUGAGGUUAGUGCAAUGGCAUAAGCCCGCUUAACUGCGAGAAUGACGGUUCGAGCAGGUGCGAAAGCAGGUCAUAGUGAUCCGGUGGUUCUGUAUGGAAGGGCCAUCGCUCAACGGAUAAAAGGUACUCCGGGGAUAACAGGCUGAUACCGCCCAAGAGUUCAUAUCGACGGCGGUGUUUGGCACCUCGAUGUCGGCUCAUCACAUCCUGGGGCUGAAGUCGGUCCCAAGGGUAUGGCUGUUCGCCAUUUAAAGUGGUACGCGAGCUGGGUUUAGAACGUCGUGAGACAGUUCGGUCCCUAUCUGCCGUGGGCGUUGGAAGAUUGAAGGGGGCUGCUCCUAGUACGAGAGGACCGGAGUGGACGAACCUCUGGUGUUCGGGUUGUGUCGCCAGACGCAUUGCCCGGUAGCUAAGUUCGGAAUUGAUAAGCGCUGAAAGCAUCUAAGCGCGAAGCGAGCCCUGAGAUGAGUCUUCCCUGACAGUUUAACUGUCCUAAAGGGUUGUUCGAGACUAGAACGUUGAUAGGCAGGGUGUGUAAGCGUUGUGAGGCGUUGAGCUAACCUGUACUAAUUGCCCGUGAGGCUUAACCAU